rnacentral:rRNA from 1 species
UCCCAGAGAUGUGAAAAGUCCUUCGGGACAUCGAGACAGUUGGUGCAUGGUUGUCGUCAGCUCCGGUCGUGAGAUGUUGGGUUAAGUCCCGCAACGAGCGCAACCUUUAUUGGCCAGUUACUACGCAAGAGGGACUCUGGCGAGACUGCCGUUGACAAAACGGAGGAAGGUGGGGAUGACGUCAAAUCAUCAUGCCCUUUAUGACCUGGGCUACACACGUACUACAAUGGCGUUUAACAAAGAGAAGCAAUACCGCGAGGUGGAGCAAAACUCAAAAACAACGUCUCAGUUCAGAUUGCAGGCUGCAACUCGCCUGCAUGAAGUCGGAAUUGCUAGUAAUCGCGGAUCAGCAUGCCGCGGUGAAUACGUUCCCGGGCCUUGUACACACCGCCCGUCACACCAUGAGAGCCGGGGGGACCCGAAGUCCGUAGUCUAACCGCAAGGAGGACGCGGCCGAAGGUAAAACUGGUGAUUGGGGUGAAGUCGUA